rnacentral:rRNA from 1 species
ACUCCUACGGGAGGCAGCAGUGGGGAAUAUUGCACAAUGGGCGGAAUCCUGAUGCAGCAAUGCCGCGUGAGGGACGACGGCCUUCGGGUUGUAAACCUCUUAUAGCAGGGAAGAAGCGAACGUGACGUUAGCUGCAGAAAAAGCGCCGGCUAACUACGUGCCAGCAGCCGCGGUAAU